GUUAGGAAUAUUGGACAAUGGGCGAAAGCCUGAUCCAGCCAUGCCGCGUGAACGAUGAAGGCCUUCGGGUUGUAAAGUUCUUUAGCCGAUGAUUAUAAUGACUGUAGUCGGAAAAUAAGCCCCGGCUAACUUCGUGCCAGCAGCCGCGGUAAUACGAAGGGGGCGAGCGUUAUUCGGAAUCACUGGGCGUAAAGCGUGCGUAGGCGGUAUUGUAAGUUAGGAGUGAAAGCCCAGGGCUCAACCUUGGAAUUGCUCUUAAAACUGCAAGGCUCGAAUCUCGGAGAGGAUAGCGGAAUUUCCAGUGUAGCAGUGAAAUGCGUAGAUAUUGGAAGGAACACCAGUGGCGUAAGCGGCUAUCUGGACGAGUAUUGACGCUGAGGCACGAAAGCGUGGGGAUCAAACAGGAUUAGAAACCCCUGUAGUCC
rnacentral:rRNA from 1 species